CUAAUCCCUAACACACAGAACAUACACCCAGCAGGAAGUCAGCUACGACCACUGGACUGGCCCACUAGCAAGGUAUCUAGCCUAAUCCCUAACACACAGAACAUACACCCAGCAGGAAGUCAGCUACGACCACUGGACUGGCCCACUAGCAAGGUGAAGAAGGUACGGUUACUUUGUAUCCUUAACACAGGAAGCGUGUUCCUACUCAUAAUCAUUUAGAGAAGUGCGGGUGUGGCGGCAAAAAGACUGAUGAGAUAGAUUCCUUGUUGAAAAUAAACUGACUUCGUGUCAUUUAAAUUUGAUAAAUUAACCAAGCUAUAUCCUUAUUCAUGACAUAUUGAUUUGCGUCUAAAAACCCAUGAAUAGUCAAUUAUUCAGACAGGAAAGCCAAAGUAAAAGCCGAAACAAAAGAUCUACAACAAAAAAAACACACGAACGAAAUAAAACUCACCUUGGCUUGGCAACUUCUUGUUUUCAACCAAUAAAACCUACAGAGAGGAUUGGAAAAGCGAGUUUUUUCCCCCAAUUUAAACACAAUACCCAAGCUAUUGCAUUGCUGUUCGUUCUAUCCUCUCCAAUCCUUCCACCGCUUUCCCAUUUUGGGUUGGACAUGAAUUAGGUAAAACGAUGGCUGCCCUAACGUGUACUAUCCAGUCACGUGGUCCAAUAGAUCCCAGCAGGGGCGAAUUCAUUACGCCGUUUCUGUUGCGAAACGCUUCUUACACGGAAGCAAACGGGACGAAACGGGGAGGGACCUACCUGAAUUCGUUCAAUAAAAACUCUGUGCACUAAUGAAUACACUCCUAUAUAUAAGCGCUUCCCGACAGUGCGACUCCGCCCUAUAAAUGUUUUUCUGUUUAUGUGACUGUUUAUUACAGCAAGGCCCUGAGAUGGCUUGUGCUGUGGGAAACAUUUGGUCAGUGACUGUUCAGUUAUGCACCAGACUGAGUCAACAUUGACGUUUUUUCUUUCAUUUGACAACCCUGAGGAGUCACUGGACUGUGACAAGGAUAUACAAAGGUAAAACUAUAGGCUCAAUAGGGCCUUCAUAACUAACCCUGUUCGAUCAACAGUUUAUGUGACUUUUUUUGUGACGAUUACACUUUUCACAGAGAUGCCACUUACUCUAUAUCCCACAGACUGUUUAAAGUUCCCGCACAGUCAUCCUAUCCUAAGUAAAAAUAGCAUUUGAAUGACCAAAACAUCACUCAUAACAUUUUUACACUAUUAAAAUACUCAGAAUUGAAGAAAUAGUACCUUUUCUCUCAUCUCUAACUGUCAAGGAAGCCUGAAAGAACAGGAUGACUGGGCGGGGAAUUUAUAUUCAUGAGUUCGCCUUGACUGACACGCCCUUGUGGUUGUUGCCAGGUAACAAGGUAAACAAUGGGUCACGUGUCAUUGAUGACUAGGUGAACAAUGGGCCACACAUAUUUUUAUUUUUUAUUUUACUAGGCAAGUCAGUGAAGAACAAAUUCUUAUUUUCAAUGACGGCCUAGGAACAGUGGGUUAACUGCCUGUUCAGGGGCAGAACGACAGAUUUGUACCUUGUCAGCUCGGGGAUUUGAACUUGCAACCUUUCGGUUACUAGUCCAAAGCUCUAACCACUAACCACAUGUCAUUGUGAGUUUAAAUAGUAUACCUCAAACCCAUUUUCUCUUCUAAAUGCUCUCAUGGUCAACAGAGCUGAUCAUGGACGGUUAGAUAUCAAACAAACAGCAGCAAUACACAAUUGCAUUUUCUAUUAUUUUGUAACUAAUGACAGAAUACAUUUCACUUAUACAGUUCUUCACAAUAAUUAGUAAACCCUGAUUCACCUUAGAAGCUUAGACAGAAGGGAAUGUACUUGAAAACAGCAUACAAUAAGUGUAUUGGACAAUUUAUUGGUGCCUCUGCAUUAUCAUUAAUAAUGACAAUAUGUUCAGAGUUGUAUGUAUUGAUCAGACAUGUAUUUGAUCAUUUAUAAUAGGCCAGCAUAGCCAAAAUAUUGAUCAACAUGAACACUAAAGAGAAAUAAAGGUGAAACAUCAUUUGAUUUUUUAUUUUUUAUUUUUUAAAUCAAAGCCAUAAAUAUGCAGGAUCCCAUUGAUUCGUAACAAUUUGUAGCACUUAUCUCCUAUCUAAAAAAAUAUAUAUAUACAAAAGUCACAAUGUCAUAUCACGUAUGGGGGGACAGCGGAGGAGGGGGACCUAAGCAGGCUUCAGGCACCCACUUGGCUGCAGUCACCCCCAAGAUUGAAUCAGGAUAGCAAUCCAGCUAUGGCCUCUCUCAUUAGGCAGACAGGGGUCCUGGGAUGGACAGAUCAGGCCUCUCUCACUGGGCAGACAGGGGUCCUGGGAUGGACAGAUCAGGCCUCUCUCACUGGGCAGACAGGGGUCCUGGGAUGGACAGCAAGCACAGCUUCCCCAUGUACAGAGCUGAUCAAGGGUGAUCUCAUUUAAGUUUUUUGAAAAGGGACAUGUUUGUUAAAAUGGGUAGUGAAUUUAAUAUCCUUUUAUGUAAUGUUCUGAGUUAUGAUGCUAUCAUUUCGUUGAUGUUGCUACUUAUUAAAUGUGUUUUCUGCUAUCUUUGUACUCAAUUUUAAAUAUGCGAUAUUUAGUUGUACACUUUUUUAGUGAAACUUUUCAAUGUCAGUAUUUGGAAUUUGUGUGCCUGAAAUGCUCAAUUGAUUUGCAAUGAAUAACUGUGACUUACUGGGUCUAUCUUCAUAGACUUCACAGCAUAUCCCCCAUUCUUUGACAUGGGAAACCUGAU
ensembl:lncRNA